GCCCCUUCCCCUCCAGCUCUUCCUCUCGGGUCCCAACCCUGGGCUAGGGUUCCAUACGCUGCCGCCUUUGGGCAGACCACGUAAACUGACGUCGAUGUCCGAGAGGAGCGGGCCGCCGCACCGUCUUUCGCCUCCACCGACCUUCGAGGCACCCUACCCGUGGGACGACACCGCCGCCGCCUUGCGGAACUUCAGGGCAGGGCAGGGCGUGGUCGCGUUGCGGGCAACGAGGAGCGGCGCCGGCGCGUGCGUAGCCACUUAGCGAGAGAGGAAGGGAGUGUCGGUUGUCCUGAUACCCCAGCUCCGAUUGUCCUGCCUGGCUGCCUCCCGAAGCCCCCAAAAGAUCCAUCCACAUCCAGUACUGUAGCCACAACAAGUUUCUUCAGAUUGCAUUGCAAUUUCUUUACAAGAAUACCCAGGAGCAAAUUCCUGGCUCCGCCACUGAAUGGCGCCCGUGCCUUCGAGUCCCUCGGCAUUCGUGGGGGUGUUCGCAGCGUCGGGCUUGGUCAACGAGUUGAUGGGGUCUUCCCGCGUGACGCACCUCCUGUAGAAGUUGGUGUUCAAGGACACGGGGCACCGGAGCCACUUGCAGAUCACGCGGGAGGUGGAGGCCAUGGGGGGCAACAUCGGCGCCUCCGCGUCCAGGUAGCACUUGGUGCACAGCUACGACAUGCUGUCCAGGCAUACAUACCGCUGGCCGUGCGUUGAACAUGCUUCUUUGAUGAUAAGUAACAGACUUCUUCCUCCAAUGGCUGAAACAAGCUUUGUGAUUUACUCCUCUAAUUCUCUUUUGACAUGCUGAUUAAUUCCUCGCAAUUUUCUAGAGUAAAUCCAUUCUUACAUAUAAAUUAGUACGCUUCAUACUUGAUCUAUAUAUAUGAUCUAU